GAUGAACGCUGGCGGCGUGCCUAAUACAUGCAAGUCGAGCGAACGGACGAGAAGGUUGCUUCUCUGAUGUUAGCGGCGGACGGGGGAGUAACACGUGGCUAACCUACCUAUAAGACUGGGAUAACUUCGGGAAACCGGAGCUAACACCGGAUAAUAUUUUGAACCGAAUGGUUCAAGAGUGAAAGACGGUCUUGCUGGCACGUAUAGAUGGAUCCGCGCUGCAUUAGCUAGUUGGUAAGGUAACGGUUUACCAAGGCAACGAUGGAUAGCCGACCUGAGAGGGUGAUCGGGCACACUGGAACUGAGACACGGUCCAGACUCCUACGGGAGGCAGCAGUAGGGAAUCUUACGCAAUGGGCGAAAGCCUGACGGAGCAACGCCGCGUGAGUGAUGAAGGUCUUCGGAUCGUAAAACGCUGUUAUUAGGGAAGAACAUAUGUGUAAGUAAAUGUGCACAUCUUGACGGUACCUAAUCAGAAAGCCACGGCUAACUACGUG
rnacentral:rRNA from 1 species